UUCUCCCUGGGAAAAAGGGUGGUAAUGCCGGAUGCUCCAGUUGAUCGCAUGGUCUUCUGGGAAAGCUUUCGCGGUAUGGGAUGGGGUCGCGUCCUAUCAGCUUGACGGCGGGGUAACGGCCCACCGUGGCUUCGACGGGUAGCCGGCCUGAGAGGGCGACCGGCCACAUUGGGACUGAGAUACGGCCCAGACUCCUACGGGAGGCAGCAGUGGGGAAUAUUGCACAAUGGGCGCAAGCCUGAUGCAGCGACGCCGCGUGAGGGAUGGAGGCCUUCGGGUUGUAAACCUCUUUUAUCGGGGAGCAAGCGAGAGUGAGUUUACCCGUUGAAUAAGCACCGGCUAACUACGUGCCAGCAGCCGCGGUAAUACGUAGGGUGCAAGCGUUAUCCGGAAUUAUUGGGCGUAAAGGGCUCGUAGGCGGUUCGUCGCGUCCGGUGUGAAAGUCCAUCGCUUAACGGUGGAUCCGCGCCGGGUACGGGCGGGCUUGAGUGCGGUAGGGGAGACUGGAAUUCCCGGUGUAACGGUGGAAUGUGUAGAUAUCGGAAAAGAACACCA
rnacentral:rRNA from 1 species